UGGGGAAUCUUGCACAAUGGGCGAAAGCCUGAUGCAGCGACGCCGCGUGAAGGAUGAAGGUCUUCGGAUUGUAAACUUCUGUUAAACGGGAGAAAAGACUCGUGCCUAAUACGCACGGGGAAUGAUAGUACCGUUAGAGAAAGCACCGGCUAACUUCGUGCCAGCAGCCGCGGUAAUACGAGGGGUGCAAGCGUUAUCCGGAAUUAUUGGGCGUACAGGGUGCGUAGGCGGCUUAUUAAGUCAAUUGUUAAAUCUCCCGGCCUAACUGGGAACCAGCAAUUGAUACUGACGAGCUAGAGGAUGGAAGAGAGAAGCGGAAUUCUCGGAGUAGCGGUAAAAUGCGUAGAUCUCGAGAGGAACACCGAUGGCGAAGGCAGCUUCUUGGUCCAUUUCUGACGCUGAGGCACGAAAGCGUGGGGAGCAAACAGG
rnacentral:rRNA from 1 species